rnacentral:rRNA from 1 species
GCAUGUCUAAGUAUAAAUAACUUUAUAUUGUGAAACUGCGAAUGGCUCAUUAAAUCAGUUAUGAUCUACGUGACAAAUUCUUUACUACUUGGAUAACCGUGGUAAUUCUAGAGCUAAUACAUGCAAAAAAGCCCUGACUCACGAAGGGGUGCACUUAUUAGAUAAAACCAACGCGGGGUAAAACCUGUUUCGUGGUGAAUCAUAAUAAUUAAGCGGAUCGCAUGGCCUUGAGCCGGCGACGGUCCACUCGAUUUUCUGCCCUAUCAUGGUUGAGAUUGUAAGAUAGAGGCUUACAAUGCCUAUAACGGGUAACGGGGAAUUAGGGUUCGAUUCCGGAGAGGGAGCCUGAGAAACGGCUACCACAUCCAAGGAAGGCAGCAGGCGCGCAAAUUACCCAAUCCCGACACGGGGAGGUAGUGACAAUACAUAACAAUGCAGGGCCUUUACGGUCUUGCAAUUGGAAUGAGUACAAUUUAAAUCCCUUAACGAGGAUCAAUUGGAGGGCAAGUCUGGUGCCAGCAGCCGCGGUAAUUCCAGCUCCAAUAGCGUAUAUUAAAGUUGUUGCAGUUAAAACGUCCGUAGUCAAACUUUAGUCUUACCGGCGCGGUGGCCUGGUCUUCAUUGAUCAAGCUCGCUGUCGCUGGAGACUCCACGUCCGCUGGCUCCUAGUCCUCGUGGCUAGGGUUUUGUGGACAAUUACCAUGAGCAAAUCAGAGUGUUUAAAGCAGGCUUUUAAGCUUGAAUGUGUUAGCAUGGAAUAAUGAAAUAUGACUUUAGUCCUAUUUUCGUUGGUUUAGGUACUAUAGUAAUGAUUAAUAGAAACGGUUGGGGGCAUUUGUAUUUGGCCGCUAGAGGUGAAAUUCUUGGAUUGGCCGAAGACAAACUACUGCGAAAGCAUUUGACCCAGGACGUUUUCAUUGAUCAAGGUCUAAAGUUAAGGGAUCGAAGACGAUUAGAUACCGUCGUAGUCUUAACCACAAACUAUGCCGACUAGAGAUUGGGCGUGUUUCUUUUGACUCGCUCAGCAUCUUAGCGAAAGUAAAGUUUUUGGGUUCUGGGGGGAGUAUNGNAC